rnacentral:rRNA from 1 species
CACGUAGGACGCAAGCGUUGUCCGGAAUUAUUGGGCGUAAAGAGCUCGUAGGCGGUCUGUUGCGUCCGCUGUGAAAACUCGGGGCUUAACCCCGAGCCUGCAGUGGAUACGGGCAGACUAGAGGUAGGUAGGGGAGAAUGGAAUUCCCGGUGUAGCGGUGAAAUGCGCAGAUAUCGGGAAGGACACCCGUGGCGAAGGCGGCUCUCUGGGACGGUACUGACGCUGAGACGCGAAAGCGUGGGGAGCGAACAGG